UGUUAAAAUUUGAUUCAUUUGUACUGUUAAAAACUGGGGUGGAUGAUAGAAUAACUAAAAUUGUAUCUAUGCCGAUAUACAGGGACCAGUUUUUAGCUGUAGAAAUGGAUGAAAAUUUUAAUA
rfam:Gossypium hirsutum cultivar TM-1 chromosome 6, whole genome shotgun sequence